UACGAAGGGGGCUAGCGUUGCUCGGAAUCACUGGGCGUAAAGGGCGCGUAGGCGGCCAUUCAAGUCGGGGGUGAAAGCCUGUGGCUCAACCACAGAAUUGCCUUCGAUACUGUUUGGCUUGAGUUUUGGUAGAGGUUGGUGGAACUGCGAGUGUAGAGGUGAAAUUCGUAGAUAUUCGCAAGAACACCAGUGGCGAAGGCGGCCAACUGGACCAAUACUGACGCUGAGGCGGCGAAAAGCGUGGGGGAG
rnacentral:rRNA from 1 species